CUCUUAGUUGGUACCAAUGGUGGACCCGAUGCACUCCAAAUCCUACACGCGAAGGGUUCAAAUUGGCAGUGGUUAGAAGAUUUCAACCUUCUAUGGUACAGAACCCCUUUGAGCAACAUUUGGCUUUGAAACAAUUAGGCACGGUGGAAGAGUAUGUGGAGGAGUUCGAGAAAUAUGUGGUAGCCUUUGAUCAAAAAUUUGUAAGGGGUAUUUUCUUGAAUGACCUCAAGGAAGAGAUCAAAGCGGAAGUUAAGUUGCAUGAGCACCAUACACUCUUGGAGGGUGGACAAGAAGGCUGCAUAUUCUUCGGUUGGAAGUGGACCCACAACCUCGAGUCAAAUGCAGGCUACAUACAAUAACUGAAGCAGAAGAGGAGAGUUCAGACACUUAAAUAGGGCUGAAAUGAGGGAGAAAUGGUUGUGUUUCUAUUGUGAAGAACCCUAUACUAGAGAGCACAAAUGUAAAAAUAAGCAAUUCCAAAUGGUCAUAUUGGAGGAGGAGGAAGAACAAAAUAAUGAUGAAUCGCUGUUGUGAAAUUUACAUUCUUUGCAAUUAUUCUUGUGUUCCAUGGCUGGACUAACUUCAACUAAGUCCUGGAAGAUAGAAGGUAUGUUGAGAUAUGGAACAGUAAUCUUAUUGAUUGAUUGUGGAGUUUCUCACAAUUUCGUUGCUUCAGAUUUAAUACUCAAUAUGAAGUUGGAAGUGCUGCUGGAUAAACCCUCAUAUGUAGUGGAGGUGGGUGAUGGACAUAAGGGGUACAGCAGGA
rnacentral:lncRNA from 1 species